rnacentral:misc_RNA from 2 species
UUUAGUUUCUAAUAAGAAACCAAGACAACAAGAAAAAUUAGAUGGAUGAUUUAUUGGAUUACUUCUUUUGUUCUGUUUAGUUUUCAGGGAUUGUUUUCUCUGAGCAAUUGUUCUUUAAAAACUGGAUAAUAGACAUCUUUUAAAAAAAAUAAGAUAAUUUUUAUCUUGCAAUAGGAUAUUCUAAAA